AUAUUGGACAAUGGGCGAAAGCCUGAUGCAGCAACGCCGCGGGAGUGAUUAAGGCCUUCGGUUCGUAAAGCUCUUGGAUCAGGGAUGAUAAUGACAGUACCUGAAAAUCAAGCCCCGGGGAACCACGUGCCAGCAGCCCGGGUAAUACGUAGGGGGCGAGCGUUGUCCGGAAGUACUGGGCGUAAAGGAUGCGUAGGUGGAUACUUAAGUGGGAUGUGAAAUCCCCGGGCUCAACCCGGGAACUGCGUUCCAAACUGGGUAUCUAGAGUGCAGGAGAGGAAAGCGGAAUUCCUAGUGUAGCGGUGAAAUGCGUAGAUAUUAGGAGGAACACCAGUGGCGAAGGCGGCUUUCUGGACUGUAACUGACACUGAGGCAUGAAAGCGUGGGUAGCAAACAGG
rnacentral:rRNA from 1 species